rnacentral:lncRNA from 1 species
AAUCUGCUCAGGGAACAUGUUGUCCUCUCCUGUUUGCAGGGCCAUUUCUUGGACAAGCAGCAGCUCUGUUUGCUGGACUUUUGGCCCCAUGCAGUCACUGUGAGGCAAGGCACAUCUCACACAAACGGGCCAGUGAAAUGAGGAGAAAAGAAAAGGAGAAUGGAAUCCAAAACUCUGGAGGACAUUUCUGGCUGAAAAUUUGAAGGGCCAUGUUUUACAGUGAGGUUGGAGAUCAUUGGGGAUCUUCAUGGAAGAGCAUACAUUUGAGCUGAAGAUGUAAACAAGCAUAGUUUGAGCAUGGAAACAAGGAGGAUUCCAGCAAAGGAAACUCAAAAGAAUAGUGACAGAAAACAAAGGCAGUCAUUUGGUUCAGGUGCAAGUGACCAGGUAAAGGAUUUCAGGGCAUAAAUUUGGCAGAGCAAACCAUGGGAAGUUUGAAGGACCUGGAAUCUCAAACCUGGGAGUUUAUAAUCUCUUCUAUAGUUGCUUGGAAAGGAUGGACUAAUUUUGAUUGAGACUUGACCAGAACUGGGAUAUAAAAAGAUUCAUCUGGCAAAGUAUAGCAUGAAAUUAAGACAGAAAAAACAAGAGGUGGACCUAAACAUAAGACCUGAAUCUAUAAAAAUCCUAAAAGAAAACAUAGAGAAUACUCUUCUGGACAUUGGCCUUGGCAAAAAAAAAAAAAUUAUAACCAAGUUCUCAAAAGCAAACACAACAAAACCAAAAAUAGACAAAUGGGACUUAAUUAAAUGAAAGAGCUUCUGCACAGCAAAAGAAACAAUCAACAAAGUAAAUAGACAUUUCACAGAAUGGGAAAAAAUAUUUGCAAACUAUACACCCAGUGAAGGGCUAAUAUCCAGAAUCUACAAGGAAUUCAAACAAUUCGACAAGAAAAGAACAAAUAACUCUAUUAAAAAGUGGGCAAAGGACAUGAACAGACAUUUUCAAAACAAGACAUACAAGCGGCAAACCAGCAUAAGAAAACAUACUCAACAUCAUUAAUCAUCAGAGAAAUGCAAAUUAAAACCACAAUGAGAUACCAGCUUGCACCAGUCAGAAUGACUUAAUAAAAAGUCUAAAAACCACAGAUAUUAGCAAGCAUACAAAGAUCUACAAUGUUCCUGGUGUCAGGAUGCCCAUUAUGGAAGCUUACACUGUUGUGGGAGAAUUAAGUCUUGGCAUAACCCAAGGCACUGUUGUCAUUCAAUGGAAAAAUGGAAGCCAAAAAAGAAGAUUUGAUUUAAGAAUAACCAACCCUCUCAUUAUCCCGUUGUGCACUGUUAUGCCUUGUCUCUGGAAACCAAUAUAAUUUACUUCAUUUUGAUUUGUGUUCUGUCUUAUUCAGAAAGUGCUUCAGGUGACUUACAAGAAGAUAUAAAAAUUAAAACUCGAGAAGCUAUUACAGG